rnacentral:rRNA from 1 species
AACGAACGCUGGCGGCAUGCCUAACACAUGCAAGUCGAACGAGACCUUCGGGUCUAGUGGCGCACGGGUGUGUAACGCGUGGGAACCUGCCCUUAGGUUCGGAAUAACUCCCCGAAAGGGGUGCUAAUACCGGAUAAUGUCUUCGGACCAAAGAUUUAUCGCCUUUGGAUGGGCCCGCGUUGGAUUAGCUAGUUGGUAGGGUAAAAGCCUACCAAGGCGACGAUCCAUAGCUGGUCUGAGAGGAUGAUCAGCCACACUGGGACUGAGACACGGCCCAGACUCCUACGGGAGGCAGCAGUGGGGAAUAUUGGACAAUGGGCGAAAGCCUGAUCCAGCAAUGCCGCGUGAGUGAUGAAGGCCUUAGGGUUGUAAAGCUCUUUUACCCGGGAUGAUAAUGACAGUACCGGGAGAAUAAGCUCCGGCUAACUCCAUG